rnacentral:rRNA from 1 species
AUUGAACGCUGGCGGCAGGCCUAACACAAGCAAGUCGAGCGGUAGAGAGAAGCUUGCUUCUCUUGAGAGCGGCGGACGGGUGAGUAAUGCCUAGGAAUCUGCCUGGUAGUGGGGGAUAACGUUCGGAAACGGACGCUAAUACCGCAUACGUCCUACGGGAGAAAGCAGGGGACCUUCGGGCCUUGCGCUAUCAGAUGAGCCUAGGUCGGAUUAGCUAGUUGGUGGGGUAAUGGCUCACCAAGGCGACGAUCCGUAACUGGUCUGAGAGGAUGAUCAGUCACACUGGAACUGAGACACGGUCCAGACUCCUACGGGAGGCAGCAGUGGGGAAUAUUGGACAAUGGGCGAAAGCCUGAUCCAGCCAUGCCGCGUGUGUGAAGAAGGUCUUCGGAUUGUAAAGCACUUUAAGUUGGGAGGAAGGGUUGUAGAUUAAUACUCUGCAAUUUUGACGUUACCGACAGAAUAAGCACCGGCUAA